GCGCCCAUAGCUCAGUUGGUAGAGCAGCUCCCUUUUAAGGAGACGGUCCAUGGUUCGAAUCCAUGUGGGCGCA
rnacentral:tRNA from 1 species